rnacentral:rRNA from 1 species
GACGAACGCUGGCGGCGUGCCUAAUACAUGCAAGUAGAACGCACAGUUUAUACCGUAGCUUGCUACACCAUAGACUGUGAGUUGCGAACGGGUGAGUAACGCGUAGGUAACCUGCCUGGUAGCGGGGGAUAACUAUUGGAAACGAUAGCUAAUACCGCAUAAUAUUAAUUAUUGCAUGAUAAUUAAUUGAAAGGUGCAAUUGCACCACUACCAGAUGGACCUGCGUUGUAUUAGCUAGUAGGUGAGGUAACGGCUCACCUAGGCGACGAUACAUAGUCGACCUGAGAGGGUGAUCGGCCACACUGGGACUGAGACACGGCCCAGACUCCUACGGGAGGCAGCAGUAGGGAAUCUUCGGCAAUGGACGAAAGUCUGACCGAGCAACGCCGCGUGAGUGAAGAAGGUUUUCGGAUCGUAAAGCUCUGUUGUAAGAGAAGAACGGGUGUGAGAGUGGAAAGUUCACACUGUGACGGUAUCUUACCAGAAAGGGACGGCUAACUACGUG